UUCCGACGAACUAAGACGCAUCGCAUGGCAGCGGACACUGACGCAGUGCCACGCAGGCAAUCCGCGUGCUCGCGAUCGAACGACUCAGAUCCGUUCCCCUGCGCACGAACGACGCAGAUGCGUUCUCUCACCAAAUACGAUCGGACAAUCUAGAUUAGAUCGCGAUGGAUGGUCUAGAUUGAAUCGUGAUGAACGGUACAGAUCCACUCCCUAUUUAAUCGUGAUCGGAUGGUCCAAAUCAAAUGCAAUAGACGGCUCAGAUCAAAAGUGGACAGCUAUAAAUAACCUUCAUCCACACCAAACCAUAACCCUAACCGCCAGACCCCAUCGCCAAAGAAAAAGUGGCUAACCGAGACCAUUUAACGUGUUUUCUCUCAUAUGGAUUGAUGUAGAAUCGGCCGAAUUUGGUCGAAAAUGGCCAAAAAUAGCCGACCUGAGGCAAACCGUCACCGGCCGUCACUGGAGCACAGCAGAGCCGCCGUGCUGGAAUUCUAAAAUUGGCCAAGUGGGCCCUGGGACUAAUUUUGGGUUUGUUUGAGAUAUUUGUAGG
rnacentral:lncRNA from 1 species